rnacentral:rRNA from 1 species
AUUGAACGCUGGCGGCAGGCCUAACACAUGCAAGUCGAACGAGUGGCGGACGGGUGAGUCAUGUCUGGGAAACUACCUGAUGGAGGGGGAUAACUACUGGAAACGGUAGCUAAUACAGCAUACCAUCGGAUGUGCACAGAUGGGAUUAGCUAGAAGUUGGGGUAACGGCUCACCUAGGCACCGAUCCCUAUCUGGUCUGAGAGGAGGACCACCACCAGUGUACCGGAGACACGGUCCAUAUGCCUACGUGAGGCCGCAGUGGGGAAUAUUGCACAAGGUGCGCAAGCAGUAUUCAGCCAUGCCGCGUGUAUGAAGAAGGCCUUCGGUUUGUAAAGUACUUUCAGCGGGGAUGCGUUACCCGAAGAAGAAGCACCGGCUAACUCCGUGCCAGCAGCCGCGGUAAUAC